UUUGAGCCGAGGGGCCUAGCGGAAACGCCAGACGGCGCUGUCAGAAACGGUAGCAAGUGAGCCCGCAAUACGUCGAAAUCUGAACUGCGGCGUAAUGAAAUACUGUGUCCAUCGCAAGGGGCACGUCAGAUAGUAGCAAA
ncrna:unclassified sequences poplar-1 RNA